rnacentral:rRNA from 1 species
GAGUUUGAUCAUGGCUCAGGACGAACGCUGGCGGCGUGCUUAACACAUGCAAGUCGAACGAUGAAGCCUAGCUUGCUAGGUGGAUUAGUGGCGAACGGGUGAGUAAUACGUGAGUGACCUACCUUUGACUCUGGGAUAAGCCUGGGAAACUGGGUCUAAUACCGGAUACGACCAAUCUCCGCAUGGGGCGUUGGUGGAAAGCGUUAUGGAGUGGUUUUAGAUGGGCUCACGGCCUAUCAGCUUGUUGGUGAGGUAAUGGCUUACCAAGGCGACGACGGGUAGCCGGCCUGAGAGGGUGACCGGCCACACUGGGACUGAGACACGGCCCAGACUCCUACGGGAGGCAGCAGUGGGGAAUAUUGCACAAUGGGCGCAAGCCUGAUGCAGCGACGCCGCGUGAGGGAUGACGGCCUUCGGGUUGUAAACCUCUGUUAGCAUCGAAGAAGCGAAAGUGACGGUAGGUGCAGAGAAAGCGCCGGCUAACUACGUGCCAGCAGCCGCGGUAAUACGUAGGGCGCGAGCGUUGUCCGGAAUUAUUGGGCGUAAAGAGCUUGUAGGCGGUUGGUCGCGUCUGCUGUGAAAGGCUGGGGCUUAACCCUGGUUUUGCAGUGGGUACGGGCUAACUAGAGUGCAGUAGGGGAGACUGGAAUUCCUGGUGUAGCGGUGGAAUGCGCAGAUAUCAGGAGGAACACCGAUGGCGAAGGCAGGUCUCUGGGCUGUAACUGACGCUGAGAAGCGAAAGCAUGGGGAGCGAACAGGAUUAGAUACCCUGGUAGUCCAUGCCGUAAACGUUGGGCACUAGGUGUGGGGGACAUUCCACGUUUUCCGCGCCGUAGCUAACGCAUUAAGUGCCCCGCCUGGGGAGUACGGCCGCAAGGCUAAAACUCAAAGAAAUUGACGGGGGCCCGCACAAGCGGCGGAGCAUGCGGAUUAAUUCGAUGCAACGCGAAGAACCUUACCAAGGCUUGACAUAUACUGGACUGCGUCAGAGAUGGCGUUUCCCUUCGGGGCUGGUAUACAGGUGGUGCAUGGUUGUCGUCAGCUCGUGUCGUGAGAUGUUGGGUUAAGUCCCGCAACGAGCGCAACCCUCGUUCUAUGUUGCCAGCACGUGAUGGUGGGGACUCAUAGGAGACUGCCGGGGUCAAACUCGGAGGAGGGUGGGGAUGACGUCAAAUCAUCAUGCCCCUUAUGUCUUGGGCUUCACGCAUGCUACAAUGGCCGGUACAGAGGGUUGCGAUACUGUGAGGUGGAGCUAAUCCCUAAAAGCCGGUCUCAGUUCGGAUUGGGGUCUGCAAACUCGACCCCAUGAAAGUUCGGAGUCGCUAGUAAUCGCAGAUCAGCAACGCUGCGGUAAAUACGUUCCCGGGCCCUUGCACACACCGCCCGUCA